rnacentral:tRNA from 1 species
GCCUGGAUGGCUCAGUCGGUUGAGCAUCUGACUUCGGCUCAGGUCAUGAUCUCACUGUCCAUGAGUUCAAGCCCCACGCCGGGCU